CAAUGAAACAAAGAGUGAAAAAUUUAAAUGGGUCUGAAUACUUUCCGUACCCACUGUAUCUUAAUAGCUCAUUCAAUUUGUCUGAAUAGUAACAGUUAAUGCUUUAUUGCUUUCACCCAUUCUGUUUUGAUUCGGUCAUAAUACAUUGCUUUCCCUUUCUAUUUUUAUUACAGCAUCUGGAAACAGACCAAGAAUUUACAGAGGGACAAAGUACCUCAAAUUUAAGUGAUUUAAAGCAAAAUUUAGUGAAUGUUUCAAUGUUACACAAAAGCAACCAAAGCAGUGCUGCCCCCACGGACAAAACGUUGUUGUUGAUGUCUGGGUGGGUCUCCAAGCUCUGUGGUCAAGUUACUGAUGAGUGCUGACAGGAAAUCAGCAGUCAACAUUCCGCACAUCUAAUGCUUACAUUAGAUUACAUUUGGUUUCUGGUGGCGAGUUAGAUGAGAUGAUCAAUACCACUCUGUUAAAUACGAAGCUAGAGCCAAGAGAUGACUAGCUCUGGCCUGCUCCUGCCUACUCUGCUUUUAUGUUACCAAACUCGAAACACUCAAUUUGGAGGUCCAGACCGACUUAUACCAAGGCACAUAACACCAGCAGCGGAGGCGCAGAAGUCAGGACACGACUACGGAGCCACGGCGCUCAUCUCCCAGCCACAGACUCUUCCUUCUCAAGCCUGAUCAAUGCACCUUUCUGCUUCCACAAAAAUCAAAUCUUACACAAAGAUGCACAAAGGGACCUUCCGACUGCCACAAUGGGAGCCUGGCUGCACCUUCUGUCGUCAAAGAAGCAGUUUUAGACGCACAUGUACUAUCAUAAAAGUUUUGAGCAUAGAAAUUCCCUGCUCAGAAAUAUCUUUUUAUAUUUAAGUGUAAAUUAAAUGCUGUCCCUAAAUCUGCAAGACAAAUGUAUGAAAUGUUUGUUUGUGAGUUGAUCAUUUUACCUAUCAGUAUGUUAAAAGUAUACAGUUGAUUAUGUGCUGUGUAUGUAUGUAUGUAUGUAUAUGUGUGUGUGUGUGUAUAUAUGUGUGUGUGUGUGUGUGUGUGUGUGUGUGUGUGUAUGUAUAUAUGUAUAUGUAUAUAUACACACAUUUGCCAAAAUGGAUAUACACAAAUUUUGUCAUUGCGUAAACCGUUAACCAUGUAAAUCCAGGAUCCACAGUUUUACGAGUGACUUUGGUAGAAAAUCUAUUCAGCAGAUGACAGACAGUUGUGUAAUAUGUGUAACAUUAUUCAUGUUUACUUAUUUAACAUCAAAUAAAACUGUUGUACGAUGUUUCUUUACUUCA